UGCCAGCAGCCGCGGUAAUACGAAGGGUGCUAGCGUUGUUCGGAAUCACUGGGCGUAAAGAGAGUGUAGGCGGACUAUUAAGUCUUGUGUGAAAUCCUAUGGCUUAACCAUAGAACUGCAUGAGAAACUGAUAGUCUAGAGUAUGGAAGAGGAAGAUGGAAUUAGUGGUGUAGGGGUAAAAUCCGUAGAGAUCACUAGGAAUACCGAAAGCGAAGGCGAUCUUCUGGGACAUUACUGACGCUGAGACUCGAUAGCGUGGGUAGAAUACGGGAUUAGAUA
rnacentral:rRNA from 1 species